rnacentral:rRNA from 1 species
UACGAAGGGGGCUAGCGUUGCUCGGAAUCACUGGGCGUAAAGCGCACGUAGGCGGAUUGUUAAGUCAGGGGUGAAAUCCUGGAGCUCAACUCCAGAACUGCCUUUGAUACUGGCGAUCUCGAGUCCGGGAGAGGUGAGUGGAACUGCGAGUGUAGAGGUGAAAUUCGUAGAUAUUCGCAAGAACACCAGUGGCGAAGGCGGCUCACUGGCCCGGUACUGACGCUGAGGUGCGAAAGCGUGGGGAGCAACAGGAUUAGAA